UUCCUUACAACGCAUUUUAUUCACAAUUUAUCUAAAAGCACCUAUGUGAGGAUGGUUCCGUGUAGGAAGUCGUCGAUUAAGCACUAGGCCGUAUAUAAAUUGAAGAUUCAAGGAUCGAGUUGGGUGCGGUACUCUCACAAACUAGGCCUUCGUGUCUGUUGAUGGGGAGGAGCGCAAUAACUUGACCUACAA
rfam:Basidiobolus meristosporus CBS 931.73 K493scaffold_87, whole genome shotgun sequence.